rnacentral:lncRNA from 1 species
UAUGAAGAAUAUAAAGAAAAUGCUAAUAUUACAGAAGAGAGAACGAUGAUGUUGUAACCAGGUAGGUGAGUCACUCAGUAGUCAAGAGGCCCGACAGAGGCUAUCCCUGAAAUCAAAUUUCUUGAGUCCUGUCGACUGCCAUAGUCGUCGCAGGUGCUGUUGGAAAGCCUCUGAAUUGGCACAGAGUUCAGAAGUUCUAAACCUCGUUUUCCCAUGUCCUGAACUUCUUCUGGUGAAAGUAUUUUGAUGCACCACACACUGUUUACAAACUCCCUGGUAUACACAAGAAAAAAUCAUUGGUUAAGCCACUAAAUGACUGGGAGAUAUACAACUGCUUCCUAAGCUGACAAAUUGAGAAAAUUUUGAGUAUGUUUCUAUUUUUCUGUUCAUUUCUUUCAGAAAAAAGACUCACUUUAUAAUGAGCCAUUUCCUAGGACAUAUCAACUAUAAUCUUAACUUGCCAUGAUACAGAUUUGACUUACGUAUUGACUAAAAGCAAGAAUGAAUAAACCAAAUGCUAAUGGUGUAAGUUAUGGAGAAGG